UACGAAGGGGGCUAGCGUUGCUCGGAAUCACUGGGCGUAAAGCGCACGUAGGCGGUUUGCUAAGUCAGGGGUGAAAUCCUGGAGCUCAACUCCAGAACUGCCUUUGAUACUGGCGAUCUCGAGUCCGGGAGAGGUGAGUGGAACUGCGAGUGUAGAGGUGAAAUUCGUAGAUAUUCGCAAGAACACCAGUGGCGAAGGCGGCUCACUGGCCCGGUACUGACGCUGAGGUGCGAAAGCGUGGGGAGCAAACA
rnacentral:rRNA from 1 species